CCUACGGGUGGCAGCAGUCGAGAAUCAUUCACAAUGGGGGAAACCCUGAUGGUGCGACGCCGCGUGGGGGAAUGAAGGUCUUCGGAUUGUAAACCCCUGUCAUGUGGGAGCAAAUUAAAAAGAUAGUACCACAAGAGGAAGAGACGGCUAACUCUGUGCCAGCAGCCGCGGUAAUACAGAGGUCUCAAGCGUUGUUAGGAAUCACUGGGCGUAAGGCGUGCGUAGGCUGUUUCGUAAGUCGUGUGUGAAAGGCGCGGGCUCAACCCGCGGACGGCACAUGAUACUGCGAGACUAGAGUAAUGGAGGGGGAACCGGAAUUCUCGGUGUAGCAGUGAAAUGCGUAGAUAUCGAGAGGAACACUCGUGGCGAAGGCGGGUUCCUGGACAUUAACUGACGCUGAGGCACGAAGGCCAGGGGAGCGAAAGGGAUUAGAUACCCGAGUAGUC
rnacentral:rRNA from 1 species